GUCCACGCCGUAAACGAUGUCUACUAGCCGUUGGGGAACUUGAUUCCUUGGUGGCGCAGCUAACGCACUAAGUAGACCGCCUGGGGAGUACGGCCGCAAGGUUAAAACUCAAAUGAAUUGACGGGGGCCCGCACAAGCGGUGGAGCAUGUGGUUUAAUUCGAUGCAACGCGAAGAACCUUACCAGGCCUUGACAUCCCCGGGACUUUCUAGAGAUAGAUGGGUGCCUUCGGGAACCGGGUGAC
rnacentral:rRNA from 1 species